UGGGGAAUAUUGGACAAUGGGGGCAACCCUGAUCCAGCAAUGCCGCGUGAGUGAUGAAGGCCUUAGGGUUGUAAAGCUCUUUCGGCGGGGACGAUGAUGACGGUACCCGCAGAAGAAGCCCCGGCUAACUUCGUGCCAGCAGCCGCGGUAAUACGAAGGGGGCGAGCGUUGUUCGGAAUUACUGGGCGUAAAGGGCGCGCAGGCGGCUCUUGAAGUCAGGCGUGAAAGCCCCGGGCUCAACCUGGGAGGUGCGCUUGAUACUCGGGGGCUGGAGUACGGGAGAGGAGAGUGGAAUUCCCAGUGUAGAGGUGAAAUUCGUAGAUAUUGGGAAGAACACCGGUGGCGAAGGCGGCUCUCUGGACCGUAACUGACGCUGAGGCGCGAAAGCGUGGGGAGCAAACAGGAUUAGAUACCCUGGUAGUCCACGCCGUAAACGAUGGGCACUAGGUGCUCGGGGGAGCGACCCCUUGAGUGCCGUCGCUAACGCAUUAAGUGCCCCGCCUGGGGAGUACGGCCGCAAGGC
rnacentral:rRNA from 1 species